rnacentral:rRNA from 1 species
GUCCUUUUGAUUAUAAUUUAAGGUYUAGCCUGCCCAAUGAUGUAAAUUUAAUGGCCGCAGUAUACUGACUGUGCAAAGGUAGCAUAAUCAUUAGUUUUUUAAUUGAAAGCUUGUAUGAAAGGUUUGAUGAAAAAAAAAUUGUCUCUAGGUAAAGGUUUUGAAAUUUAUUUUUAAGUUAAAAAGCUUAAAUUAAUAUUGAAGACGAGAAGACCCUAUAGAGUUUUAUUUAUAUUAGUAAUAAAUUAAGUUUUAGAAUUUUAAAUUUGUAUUAUUAAGUAAAUUUAGUUGGGGUGAUUGAAAAAUUUAUUAAACUUUUUUUUUUAUUUGAACAUUUAUUUAUGAGUUUAUGAUCCUUUUUAAGAUUAUAAGAUAAAAUUACCUUAGGGAUAACAGCGUAAUUUUUUUUAGAGUUCUUAUCGAAAAAAAAGAUUGCGACCUCGAUGUUGGAUUAAAAUUAAAUUUUUGGUGUAGAAGCUAAAAAAUUAGGUCUGUUCGACC